CUAAUCCAUGCUCUGUCCUUUCUUAACUCCACUCUAGCUGCCAAGAGGCCCAGCACACACAGUGGUUCCCACAGUAUAAUGCAGCAAGGUUCUACGACAAUCUCUACAGUGCUGAGGCGGCUGCCUGGGUGAACUUCUUCUUCUGGUGUCUGCUGAUGGUCCUGAUGCUCGUGCAGCGCAGACAGGAAGCCCCGUUCCAGCUCCUGCAGCGCAACGACCCCGAGUGGAGCUCCGAGACAGACGCCAUCUUUGGUGCCCGGCCACAGAGGCCAUGAGACUGGGAGGGACAAGUAGCCUCAGUUUGGGCAAGGGGGGGAAUGUGUUUGUGUGUGUGAGAGAGAGAGCGAGCGCACGCAUGAAGGGGGGAGAGGAGAGGGCUGGAAGCAUCCCCCUUCCCCCGUGCCUUUCUUCUGGCUUCAGGGGUGCUCUGCUUGUCCUCCUCUGGCCAUUCUGGUUCUUGAUAGUGAGGGAAGCCAAUGGGCUGGCCAGUAAUCCUGGCUGUCUGGCGUGAUCCCACUCAUAGUCCCAACCUCCAGUACCUGUCUCCUCCCACCUCCACCCGUACAGAGGGGGUGGGCCAGGCUAGGGUUCACCUCGCACACAGGCACCCUACGGGGGGGGCGGGGUGUUCUGAAUAUGAGAGGAUCUCAGCACAGACAUGAGCUGUGCAGCGCUCCUUGACAUCCCCACCGGAACCCACUGUUGACACUGCAGGUUCCGUAAUCCUUGGAUCUGAGGGACACCGGCAGCCAGAUCCAAUCUCCCCUCCCCCGAAGCUCUCUGAUGUCAGUGUGAUGGGCUUUAUGUAAGACCGUGGGGUGCAUCUGCUUUAAAUACCAGAGACACUGGGAGUGCAUGAGCCCAUUCCAGCUGGGCGUGUGUAAUCACAGAACUAGCUUAGUGGAGGCAGAGCGAUUCUUCUCAGGGAGUGGGGAAAGGAGGGCUUAGAGCGGGACCCUGCCCGGAUGGGAAGGACAAGCCCCAGCAGCACCACUGUGACACUCGUUACAGGAUGUGGGGCCCAAGUGCCAAUGGGCUGGGUGUCUGAUUGUCCAAAGCUGGUUGCCGUACCCUCUCAGCGAGAGGGCACUUCAUUUCAGGAGCCAAAGAGAGAAUGCCAGCUGCCUAACUGCAGGCGAUCCUGCUGGGCCAGCAAGUCCCUUCCACGGGGUGUUUGAAGACCAGAGCAAGAGGGAAGGGCCCAUUCAUGCCUAAAUGCCUCUGCAGACCCCGCUCCUGCUCAGGGGUCGGGAUCUCCUUGCACCAUUAUUGUAUGUGGAACUGGGCCCGUUUCUUGUGCCUUUUCAUUUUGUAUUAAUCCUUGUUAUUAAAAUGAUUUUCACCA